rnacentral:rRNA from 1 species
UCAGGACGAACGCUGGCGGCGUGCCUAAUACAUGCAAGUCGAACGGUCUUUCUAUGGAAGCUUGCUCCACUGAGAAGAUAGUGGCGAACGGGUGAGUAACACGUGGGUAACCUGCCCAUAAGAGGGGGAUAACAUCCGGAAACGGGUGCUAAUACCGCAUAGUUUUCUUGAUCGCAUGAUUGAGAAAGGAAAGACGGCCUUUGUGCUGUCGCUUAUGGAUGGACCCGCGGCGUAUUAGUUAGUUGGUGAGGUAACGGCUCACCAAGACGAUGAUACGUAGCCGACCUGAGAGGGUGAUCGGCCACAUUGGGACUGAGACACGGCCCAAACUCCUACGGGAGGCAGCAGUAGGGAAUCUUCCGCAAUGGACGAAAGUCUGACGGAGCAACGCCGCGUGAGUGAAGAAAAGGUUUUCGGAUCGUAAAACUCUGUUGUCAGAGAAGAACAAGUUGGAGAGUAACUGCUCCAGCCUUGACGGUAUCUGACCAGAAAGCCACGGCUAACUACGUGCCAGCAGCGGC